GCUCUGAGUGUUGUCUGGAGUCUCCUUCCCUGCGUCUAGGAGGGGAAGGACUGGAGUUGGAGAGUGGGGUGGUGGGAGGAGCUGGAAGGGGUCCUGCUGGGGAGGGCGUGACUCAGAGGAGCUUGGGAAGGUGUGAACCGAGACCUCCUAAGGCGAGAUGAAGGAACUGAUUCCCUAAGGAGAAUUGAAGCUGGAAUUCAGACCCAGGUCUAUCCAACCCAAGAGAUCACCUCUGGAACUGCAUGGUCUCUAGGAAAGACUAAUUAUUUUCCACUCCUGUGGCAUAUGGACGGUUCCACGUCCGGGAUCUAACACAAGCUGUAGCUGUGACCUACGCCACAACUGUAGCAAUGCUGGAUCCUUAACCCACUGCGAGGUGCCACCACAGACAAGCCGGAUCAUUAACCCGCUGCACCACAGCAGCUAAUCCUACAGAGAUUAGUGUAAUAAAUCCCUAUGUACUUCUCACCCAGAUGUAAGAACUAUCAGUAUUCUGCCUUAUUUCAUCAAUACUCCCUCAGUCUUUUUUUUUUUCUUCUAAAUGUUUUUCUCCUUGAACACAUUCUACUUAAAAUGAAAGCUAUUGGGACAAAAAUCUCUUUAUUAAGAG